UAUGGCCUACGGGACGCAGCAGUAGGGAAUUUUCGUCAAUGGGCGCAAGCCUGAACGAGCGAUGCCGCGUGAGUGAAGAAGGCCUUCGGGUCGUAAAGCUCUGUUGCGGGGGAAAAAAGGCAGCAUCAGGAAAUGGGUGCUGACUGAUGGUGCCCCGCCAGAAAGUCACGGCUAACUACGUGCCAGCAGCCGCGGUAAUACGUAGGUGGCGAGCGUUAUCCGGAAUGAUUGGGUGUAAAGGGAGCGUAGGCGGGG
rnacentral:rRNA from 1 species